rnacentral:ncRNA from 1 species
UUUGCGGAGAGUUUGAUCCUGGCUCAGGAUGAACGCUGGCGGCGUGCCUAAUACAUGCAAGUCGAACGAGGCGCUUUUGUAGCAAUACGAGAGUGUCCUAGUGGCGAACGGGUGAGUAACGCGUUGGUGACCUGCCCCAAAGUGUGGGAUAACAGUCCGAAAGGAUUGCUAAUACCGCAUGUGGUCCCCGGAUCUAGAAACCGGUGACUAAAGCCGCAAGGCGCUUUGGGAGGGACCUGCGUCCCAUCAGCUAGUUGGUGAGGUAACGGCCCACCAAGGCUACGACGGGUAGGGGACCUGAGAGGGUGGCCCCCCACAAUGGAACUGAAACACGGUCCAUACACCUACGGGUGGCAGCAGUAGGGAAUAUUGCACAAUGGGCGAAAGCCUGAUGCAGCAACGCCGCGUGAGCGAUGAAGGCCUUCGGGUCGUAAAGCUCUUUUCUGGGAGAUGAGAAAGGACAGUAUCCCAGGAAUAAGUCUCGGCUAACUACGUGCCAGCAGCCGCGGUAACACGUAGGAGGCGAGCGUUAUCCGGAUUCACUGGGCGUAAAGCGCGUGCAGGCGGUUCGGUAAGUUGGGCGUGAAAUCUCCCGGCUCAACUGGGAGAGGUCGUCCAAUACUACCGAACUUGAGAGCGAUAGAGGAAAAUGGAAUUCCCGGUGUAGUGGUGAAAUGCGUAGAUAUCGGGAGGAACACCAGUGGCGAAAGCGAUUUUCUGGAUCGUUUCUGACGCUCAGACGCGAAAGCUAGGGUAGCAAACGGGAUUAGAGACCCCGGUAGUCCUAGCUGUAAACGAUGUGAACUUGGCGUUGGUGGCUUAAACUCCAUCAGUGCCGAAGCUAACGCGAUAAGUUCACCGCCUGGGGACUACGGCCGCAAGGUUAAAACUCAAAGGAAUUGACGGGGGCC